rnacentral:rRNA from 1 species
UAUAGGUUUGGUCCCAGCCUUCCUGUUAACUUUCAAUAGACUUAUACAUGCAAGCAUCCACGCCCCGGUGAGUAACGCCCUUCGAAUCACACAGGACUAAAAGGAGCAGGUAUCAAGCACACACUCUUGUAGCUCACAACGCCUUGCUUAACCACACCCCCACGGGAGACAGCAGUAACAAAAAUUAAGCCAUAAACGAAAGUUUGACUAAGCCAUAUUGACUAGGGUUGGUAAAUCUCGUGCCAGCCACCGCGGUCAUACGAUUGACCCAAGCUAACAGGAGUACGGCGUAAAGCGUGUUAAAGCAUCAUACUAAAUAGAGUUAAAUUUUAAUUAAACUGUAAAAAGCCAUAAUUAUAACAAAAAUAAAUGACGAAAGUAACCCUACAAUAGCUGAUGCACCAUAGCUAAGACCCAAACUGGGAUUAGAUACCCCACUAUGCUUAGCCCUAAACACAAAUAAUUAU